rnacentral:rRNA from 1 species
GACGAACCGUGCGAACGUUAUUCGGAAUCACUGGGCUUAAAGCGCGUGUAGGCGGAUGGGAACGUCGGUAGUUGAAAGCCCCCGGCUCAACCGGGGAAGUGGUGCCGAAACGACCCGUCUGGAGGGACGUAGGGGGACCUGGAACUUCCGGUGGAGCGGUGAAAUGCGUUGAGAUCGGAAGGAACGCCCGUGGCGAAAGCGAGGUCCUGGACGUCUGCUGACGCUGAGACGCGAAAGCUAGGGGAGCAAACAGG